AAAUCUCAAAAGGGGUGCCUUAACAAAACGGGCUGAGAUCAUACCCAUAGAACCUGAUGCGGUUAGAACCGACGCAGGGAAUUUGAGAAGAGUUAGUG
rnacentral:ncRNA from 2 species